rnacentral:rRNA from 1 species
UACGUAGGGUGCAGGCGUUAAUCGGAAUUACUGGGCGUAAAGCGUGCGCAGGCGGUUUGCUAAGACAGGUGUGAAAGCCCCGGGCUCAACCUGGGAAUUGCGAUGGAGACUGCAAGGCUUGAAUCUGGCAGAGGGGGGGUAGAAUUCCACGUGUAGCAGUGAAAUGCGUAGAGAUGUGGAGGAACACCGAUGGCGAAGGCAGCCCCCUGGGUCAAGAUUGACGCUCAUGCACGAAAGCGUGGGGAGCAAACAGG